UCCUCUCCUAGAGGACUGAGGCUUGAUUC
rnacentral:piRNA from 1 species